GACGGGCCUUCAUAAAAUCUACACUUGAUAUGAGCCCGCCGUUUGGGAAUAUCAGAAUUUCCUGUAUUUGUUUGCGUUAAAAUUCAUUAAAUCUACACUUGAUAGGAGUCAAAAUUCGCAUUUGUUUGCGUUAAUCAUUGAGAGAGUGGAAGGUCUCUGCACCAGUCGUUCUCUCUCUCUCUUUAGCAACAUUGCGUACACCGAAAGCCUGAUUCAUCUUCUAGCUUUGAAUUUUCGCCGAACAGAGUCUGAUAAGGCUGUGUUUGGGGGUGAAUUCUUGGAAAGAAAAAUCAGGCAGCGGCCAGACAACCGUAGGGAUGAGGCUUCCACAGACGACAGAUUUCUUCAUUUUGUUCGUCUACUAAUCCCAUCUCACAUUAAUUAACAAAUUACAAAUGUUCCCGCAUGGGUGUCCACGUUGGAACAUGAUGACCACAGCGACAGCUUUGGGCGAGCGAGUCUUGCUGCUACUAGAUCAUGUGAUUGCAAGCAUUGCACAACUGGACAGGACAGAGGGGUGUCUAAUUGUUGCAAAAUUAGGCAAUUGACAGGUACAAUGGGUCAAAAUCUUUAGGGUGUCACAAAGUCAAAUUGAUCAAAUUCAAGGGCAUUUUUAUGUUUUAUGCCAAAUAAAUUCUGAGAUCACAAUAAAAACCUACAUAAAUCUCAUGUUCACAAUCAAUAAAUAAGAGAAGAUCACGAACAUACAACAUUUUAAUAAAAGAACAUCAUAAACAUUCAACAAAUUUAACGUCUCAAACAUGUCUAACAAAGCCACAUAGACCUCCAAGUGUUCCAAUAUUACAUGCAAACAAAACAUAGUUAUUGUGUACAAUAUACAUCUAACUAAAACAUAGCCAAUAUGAAAUAGAAGAAUACAAGAUGCAUAUAUGUUGCACAAAAAUAAAAAUAAGAAAUGUUUUUUUAUAUGAAAUGGAAAUGUGAAAAUUGACAUUUUAAAAAAAAAGUAUAAAUAGCAUCCAAAAUAGAAAUAAAAAAUAUUUUAAAAAUGAAGAAAUGGCUCCUUUGAGUUGUUUUUGUACAACAUAGCUAAUAACCAAGUGCAAAGAAGUGAAGACCUGAGCCCCGCAGGGUUGUCCCAGCAGUCAGUUGGGGGGAGAUGGGCUAACUUGGAUAUUUAGGUUCGAAUUCUCUCCUAACCUAAUUGUUGGUGGAUCAUACUCCAGUUAAGUUUUUCGUCACAAAAAGAGAUUGACGGGACGAAAAGAGAUUGGCGGGACGUCCGUGAGGGAUGUCAUCUCAAGAAACGAAGACCUGAAGGCUUUUGGUCCAUUUCUGUAAAGUAGGAGCAGGCAGGGGGUCUUGUUGCACUAGCGCCUUCCGUGGUGAGACUUCCGGCGAUUGUUUGGGAAUUAUAAGCUGCCAUGAUUAUCAUCGAAGGGGAUGUGCUAUUUGUACAGAAAAAUUCUUAUAGAAUCAUAUACAAGCAUGAGAUAUCGCGAGAAAUUAGAAAUAUUUCAAGUGUAAAAGUAAAAUAAUUUAUUGUGAUAUCUCGUCUUUGGUGAAUUUGAUCUGAAAAGAGAGGGAGAGAAUGAACAAUUCAAAAGAUUGAAAAAAUUCCCCGGUGUGUUAGAUAAAUGUUGAAGAAAUUUAGCUCAUUAUUUUUAAUAAAAUAAGAAAGGGUUAUCUUGACUAUGGUCACAACAAUUUGCGGUGGUGGUUCUGGCGGAAGGAGGGUCAAAUUAGUGGAGAUGGUGGUGGUGGUUCUGGCGGAAGGAGGGUCAAAUUAGUGGAGAUGGUGGUUGUUCGUACGUGGUGGAGAUCGGCAAAGGAUGGCGGUUUGCGGUGGUAACAACGAAGAAGAUGGUGGGUAAAAUCGAUGGUUGGAAAUGAUGGGUGUUCGCAUUGAUUUGUGGUGGAGAUUAGUGCAUGGAGAGGGUGAUUUGCGAUGGUUCCGAUGGAAGGAAGGAAGGUCAAAUCAGUGGAGAUGGUGGUUGUUGGUAAUGGCGGUGGAGAUCAGAAUAGCGGAUGUCGACGACAGAGAGAUAAGAAAAUGAAAAAUGCUAUUGGUACAUCCAUUUUGUACAUCUUAGACUACAUAAAGGGGUAUCAUGACAAAAAAAUUUCUCAUGAAAUGCAUAGAGGCGCGUGAGGUGCAGAAUAUUUUGGUCAUAAUACUCUCUUAUGUAGUCUAAAAUAUACAAAAUGAAUGUAUAUCUAGCAUGAUUUUAAAAAAAUUAAAAAUCACGGCAAAGGAAUAAGAUGAUGGAAGAGGAAAUGGCAAAUGGGAGGUGUUGGCUCUUGACUUGAUAACAGUGUCUGCAAGAGAGAGACAGAGGGAGAGAGAGGGAGAGAGUUUGAGUCAUUUGGGUUUGGGUCAUUUAUGAAAAGGAUAAAUUAAUCAUUUUAAUAUCCUGUAAAGCAUUCUGUAAAUUCUUUUCUGUACAAAUAGCAUAACUAUCAAUAGGAUGACUCAUCAUCGAAGAUUGAUGUUUUGAUCUCU